UACGGGGGGUGCGAGCGUUGUCCGGAAUCACUGGGCGUAAAGCGCACGCAGGCGGUCUGCUAAGUUUGGAGUGACAGUUGGUGGCUUAACUGCCAAAGUGCUUCGAAAACUGACAGACUUGAGGGCUUCAGAGGGACACGGAAUUCCGGGUGGAGUGGUGAAAUGCGUAGAGAUCCGGAGGAACACCAAUGGUGAAGACAGGUGACUGGGCCGGUACUGACACUGAGGCACGAAAGCGUGGGGAGCGAACGGG
rnacentral:rRNA from 1 species